rnacentral:rRNA from 1 species
CCUACGGGAGGCAGCAGUCGAGAAUCAUUCACAAUGGGGGAAACCCUGAUGGAGCGACGCCGCGUGGGGGAAUGAAGGUCUCCGGAUGGUAAACCCCUGUCAUGUGGGAGCAAAUUAAAAAGAUAGUACCACAAGAGGAAGAGACGGCUAACUCUGGGCCAGCAGCCGCGGUAAUACAGAGGGCUCAAGCGUUGUUCGGAAUCACUGGGCGUAAAGCGUGCGUAGGCUGUUUCGUAAGUCGUGUGUGAAAGGCGCGGGCUCAACCCGCGGACGGCACAUGAUACUGCGAGACUAGAGUAAUGGAGGGGGAACCGGAAUUCUCGGUGUAGCAGUGAAAUGCGUAGAUAUCGAGAGGAACACUCGUGGCGAAGGCGGGUUCCUGGACAUUAACUGACGCUGAGGCACGAAGGCCAGGGGAGCGAAAGGGAUUAGAUACCCGUGUAGUC